rnacentral:rRNA from 1 species
GUGGGGAAUAUUGGGCAAUGGGGGAAACCCUGACCCAGCAACGCCGCGUGAAGGAAGAAGGCUUUCGGGUUGUAAACUUCUUUUAUGAGGGAAGAUAAUGACGGUACCUCAUGAAUAAGCCACGGCUAACUACGUGCCAGCAGCCGCGGUAAUACGUAGGUGGCAAGCGUUGUCCGGAUUUACUGGGUGUAAAGGGCGUGUAGGCGGGACUGCAAGUCAGAUGUGAAAUUUCGGGGCUCAACCCCGAAACUGCAUUUGAAACUGUGGUUCUUGAGUAUCGGAGAGGCAGGCGGAAUUCCUAGUGUAGCGGUGAAAUGCGUAGAUAUUAGGAGGAACACCAGUGGCGAAGGCGGCCUGCUGGACGACAACUGACGCUGAGGCGCGAAAGCGUGGGGAGCAAACAGGAUUAGAAACCCGUGUAGUCC